GGCGGCGUGCCUAACACAUGCAAGUCGAGCGAGGAGAUCCUUCGGGAUGAUCCUAGCGGCGGACGGGUGAGUAACACGUGGGCAACCUGCCUCAUAGAGAGGAAUAGCCUUCCGAAAGGGAGAUUAAUACCUCAUAACAUUGCAGUUUCGCACGAAACAGCAAUUAAAGGAGCAAUCCGCUAUGAGAUGGGCCCGCGGCGCAUUAGCUAGUUGGUGAGGUAACGGCUCACCAAGGCGACGAUGCGUAGCCGACCUGAGAGGGUGAUCGGCCACAUUGGGACUGAGACACGGCCCAGACUCCUACGGGAGGCAGCAGUGGGGAAUAUUGCACAAUGGGGGAAACCCUGAUGCAGCCAACGCCGCGUGAGUGAUGACGGCCUUCGGGUUGUAAAGCUCUGUCUUCAGGGACGAUAAUGACGGUACCUGAGGAGGAAGCCACGGCUAACUACGUGCCAGCAGCUGC
rnacentral:rRNA from 1 species